rnacentral:rRNA from 1 species
UUGUCCUACGGGACGCAGCAGUGAGGAAUAUUGGUCAAUGGGCGCAAGCCUGAACCAGCCAAGUCGCGUGAGGGAUGACGGUCCUAUGGAUUGUAAACCUCUUUUGUCGGGGAGCAAGGCCCGCCACGUGUGGCGGGAAGGAGGGUACCCGAAGAAAAAGCAUCGGCUAACUCCGUGCCAGCAGCCGCGGUAAUACGGAGGAUGCGAGCGUUAUCCGGAUUUAUUGGGUUUAAAGGGAGCGUAGGCGGAAGGUUAA